rnacentral:tRNA from 1 species
UCCCUGGUGGCUCAGACAGUAAAAGAGUCUGCCUACAAUGCAGGAGACUUGGGUUCAAUCCCUGGUUGGGGAG